rnacentral:rRNA from 1 species
UACAGAGGGGGCAAGCGUUGUUCGGAAUUACUGGGCGUAAAGGGCGCGUAGGCGGCCGCCUAAGUCAGACGUGAAAUCCCCGGGCUUAACCUGGGAGCUGCAUUCGAAACUGUCUUGCUAGAGUAUGGGAGAGGGAGGUGGAAUUUCAGGUGUAGCGGUGAAAUGCGUAGAUAUCUGAAGGAACAUCAGUGGCGAAAGCGACCUCCUGGACCAAUACUGACGCUCAGGUGCGAAAGCGUGGGGAGCAAACAGG